GAUGAACGCUGGCGGCGUGCCUAAUACAUGCAAGUCGAGCGAACAGACGAGGAGCUUGCUCCUCUGACGUUAGCGGCGGACGGGUGAGUAACACGUGGAUAACCUACCUAUAAGACUGGGAUAACUUCGGGAAACCGGAGCUAAUACCGAUAAUAUAUUGAACCGCAUGGUUCAAUAGUGAAAGACGGUUUUGCUGUCACUUAUAGAUGGAUCCGCGCCGCAUUAGCUAGUUGGUAAGGUAACGGCUUACCAAGGCAACGAUGCGUAGCCGACCUGAGAGGGUGAUCGGCCACACUGGAACUGAGACACGGUCCAGACUCCUACGGGAGGCAGCAGUAGGGAAUCUUCCGCAAUGGGCGAAAGCCUGACGGAGCAACGCCGCGUGAGUGAUGAAGGUCUUCGGAUCGUAAAACUCUGUUAUUAGGGAAGAACAAAUGUGUAAGUAACUAUGCACGUCUUGACGGUACCUAAUCAGAAAGCCACGGCUAACUACGUG
rnacentral:rRNA from 1 species